rnacentral:rRNA from 1 species
CAAUAGCGUAUAUUAAAGUUGUUGCAGUUAAAAAGCUCGUAGUUGAAUUUUUGCUUGCCGCCGAUGUCGGAACUUCCGUACGUUCGGCGGCGUGCAUCCUUGGGUGGAACCUGUGUGGCAUUAGGUUGUCGUGCAGGGGAUGCUCAUCGUUUACUGUGAAAAAAUUAGAGUGUUUAAAGCAGGCCUUCGCCUUGAAUACAUUAGCAUGGAAUAAUAAGAUAGGACUUUGGUCUAUUUUGUUGGUUUGCAGACCGAAGUAAUGAUUAAUAGGGAUAGUUGGGGGUAUUUAUAUUCCGAUGUCAGAGGUGAAAUUCUUAGAUUUUCGGAAGAUAAACUUAUGCGAAAGCAUUUACCAAGGAUGUUUUCAUUAA